rnacentral:rRNA from 1 species
AUUGAACGCUGGCGGCAGGCCUAACACAUGCAAGUCGAACGAGUGGCGGACGGGUGAGUAAUGUCUGGGAAACUGCCCGAUGGAGGGGGAUAACUACUGGAAACGGUAGCUAAUACCGCAUACCAUCGGAUGUGCCCAGAUGGGAUUAGCUUGUAGGUGAGGUAACGACGCACCUAGGCGACGAUCCCUAGCUGGUCUGAGAGGAUGAGCAGCCAGACUGGCACUGUGACACGGUCCAGACACCCACGGGAGGCAGCCGUGGGGAAUAGUGAACAAUAGGCGCAAGCCUGUUCAAGCCAUACCGCGUGGGUGAAGAGGGCCUUCGGGUUGUAAAGUACUUUCAGCGGGGAGGCGUAACCCGCAGAAGAAGCACCGGCUAACUCCGUGCCAGCGGCCGCGGUAAUAC